rnacentral:rRNA from 1 species
CUACACCAACUGAGGCCUAUUAAGCGUGUUGCUUUUGAAGGGCCUGUAACAGGAAGGCGUUUCUAUGGCUGCCCAGUGCAGGAAAAUGGUGUGAAUUGUGGUGUUGUAGAGUGGGUUGAUGGGCCUUGGCCUACUGUUCUUCAGAGAUGUUUGUGCAAGCUAUGGGAAAUGUUCCAUGAGCAGAACUGUGGAAGGGUACUUGACAAAGAGAAGUUUGAGAAUGAGCUGGCCAAGCUUAAGAGUGAACAUGAAAGGGAGUUGGCCAAGCUACACAAGCUUGUUGAUGAUGUAUCCAAGAUGUUUGAUUGGCAGGAUGGUAGGGUGGACAAGAAGGUGUACCAUAAACAAGUGGAGGAGGAAGAACUUGAGAAGAAGAAGGAGCUAGAGGAGAAAGCUAUGUUGGAGGUGCAGAUGGAAAAGCUCAAACUUGCAAAAGAGUAG